CUUGAAACAAGUUGCAGCAAAUGCUGUGCCAUCAUACCAUCUGUGUUCAAGUACAGCUCUAAAGCUCUUCUCCUAUUGCUUCCUAAAGUGGAAAAUAAUGGUAAAAAAUAAAAACAGAUAAGAUGAAGUAUUGUGUAUUAGAAUACAUUAUGAACCUGAGCCUUACAAUGUUUGUUUCAAAACCCCACUCUGUACCUGUAUACUCAAAUGAAGCAUUGUUUGGAAACCAAAGAGGAGGGUUAUAGUCUUCACAUUUAAAUUAAGCAACAGCGAUGUUCUCACCUGACACAGCUAGUAAAUUCUGGUGAGCUUCACUCUACACAAAAUUGCCUAUUUUGCUUUUUUUAGCUCUUUUCACAGGCUUUCCAACAAUAUUCCAUAGGAACAUGAGUGAAAUUCAUUAAACCUUGGAGUUAAUUGAAGGAACUAGAAUUGAUGAGAAAUAUUUUUUUUAAUAUCCCACUGUUAAAUUAACGUCUAAGAUAACAGAGGUUGAUGGACAAAAUUUACGUGGAGUACAAUAUAUAUUAUGACAAACCCCAACAUACAUCUUAGGCCACAAGGAAGGGUAGUAAGAAAUCCAGAAACAAACUCUGCAGGUAAAAUGCCACCACGGAAGAACUAACUGCUCUUUAUAUGAUACAAUGAAAAAAAAGCCUAGUUCUUGAAAAGUCAACUUUGUCAUGAGGAUCUUAAAGUAGCACCUUUUUGAUAUUCAGUCAAAAUACAGGAUGACUGUUUCGAAGAUGGAAGUGACCCUGUUCUGAUCACUUUAUCUCACUCUCAGGUCUACAGUCACUUUAUCACUGCAGGGUGCAAGGAAAACAAGGACCACGCUGGGAAGCUGUACUGGAACUGCCUCGAAAAGACAGAGAGAGGCGUGCAGGCAAGAGCAGGAGGCAGCGCAUCUGCGGGAGAACCUUGCUGAUCCCAGAGCCCAGGAGAAAGCAGGAGAGGUCAGGACACUGCAUACUUGAGACAGGGAUUCAAGCUGGGGCAUGC
rnacentral:lncRNA from 1 species